GAUGAACGCUGGCGGCGUGCCUAAUACAUGCAAGUCGAGCGAACAGACGAGGAGCUUGCUCCUUUGACGUUAGCGGCGGACGGGUGAGUAACACGUAGGUAACCUACCUAUAAGACUGGGAUAACUUCGGGAAACCGGAGCUAAUACCGGAUAAUAUUUCGAACCGCAUGGUUCGAUAGUGAAAGAUGGCUUUGCUAUCACUUAUAGAUGGACCUGCGCCGUAUUAGCUAGUUGGUAGGGUAACGGCUUACCAAGGCAACGAUACGUAGCCGACCUGAGAGGGUGAUCGGCCACACUGGAACUGAGACACGGUCCAGACUCCUACGGGAGGCAGCAGUAGGGAAUCUUCCGCAAUGGGCGAAAGCCUGACGGAGCAACGCCGCGUGAGUGAUGAAGGUCUUCGGAUCGUAAAACUCUGUUAUUAGGGAAGAACAAACGUGUAAGUAACUGUGCACGUCUUGACGGUACCUAAUCAGAAAGCCACGGCUAACUACGU
rnacentral:rRNA from 1 species